CACCACACGCAGAAUCGCAUAUUGAAGCAUCACAAUACUACGACGAUUGGCUACUUGGAUUCCUCUAGGGGAACUCCUCGUAGACCUCGACCCAAAUACAAUUGAAAUGCUUUAGGGAAAGUCCUCGGACCCGAAUUGACAGAAAGUGUCGCCAAUAAUUUUAUUACUGGUCAAGUCCAAAUCCACAAAAGAUCGAUCUGUUAUGUUUUGGGUGAAGAUUCUCUCGCAAGAGAGAUGAAUGCUCCUCAACGGUCUCGUUUUUGUGGUUUGGCGUUCGUCAUGGUUACAGUCAUGCGAUUGCGGUUGUUCUCUUUGUAUGAAGAGGAUGAUUGUAACUCAACGGGGCUCACUCGCGAACGUGGU
rnacentral:RNase_MRP_RNA from 2 species